rnacentral:rRNA from 1 species
UACGGAGGGUGCAAGCGUUACUCGGAAUUACUGGGCGUAAAGCGUGCGUAGGUGGUGAGUUAAGUCUGAUGUGAAAUCCCCGGGCUCAACCUGGGAAUGGCAUUGGAUACUGGCUCGCUAGAGUGCGGUAGAGGGUGGUGGAAUUCCCGGUGUAGCAGUGAAAUGCGUAGAGAUCGGGAGGAACAUCUGUGGCGAAGGCGGCCACCUGGACCAACACUGACACUGAGGCACGAAAGCGUGGGGAGCAAACAGG